AGACCGAUAGCGAACAAGUACCGUGAGGGAAAGAUGAAAAGCACUUUGGAAAGAGAGUUAAACAGUACGUGAAAUUGCUGAAAGGGAAACGCUUGAAGUCAGUCGCGUCGUUCAGAACUCAACCCGGCCUCGCGCUCGGUGCACUUUCUGUUCGACGGGCCAGCGUCAGUUUUGAUCGUCGGAGAAAGGCCCUCGGAAUGUGGCACCCUCGGGUGUGUUAUAGCCUUGGGUCGUAUGCGACGGUUGGGACUGAGGAUCGCAGCACGCCUCACGGCCGGGGUUCGCCCACGCUACGUGCUUAGGAUGCUGGCGUAAUGGCUUUAAACGACCCGUCUUGAAACACGGACCAAG
rnacentral:rRNA from 1 species